AAGUCGUAACAAGGUUUCCGUAGGUGAACCUGCGGAAGGAUCAUUAAAGCUCUGCUCUCGAUGGACAUCGUCCACCCGAGGCAGUUCCUUCAACUCAAAAGGAGUCGUGUCUUUCGGGACGCGGCAUCUGUGCUCCGGCACGGAUAAAAGAGGCUGAUGAGGAAGGUUUUUCGAAACCCUUUUCACAACGCACACAGUCCUCGGUCCUUUGCAAAAUAAAAGUGAUGGCUUCUGAAAAGGAUUUCAUUUAUCAACCACUAUUGUUACAAUCCAGAUUCUAACAUUAAAAAUUUCUUUACCAGAAAUCUAUAAUCAAAACAACUUUUGACAACGGAUCUCUUGGUUCUC
rnacentral:misc_RNA from 1 species